GACGAACGCUGGCGGCGUGCUUAACACAUGCAAGUCGAACGGAAAGGCCCUGCUUUUGUGGGGUGCUCGAGUGGCGAACGGGUGAGUAACACGUGAGUAACCUGCCCUUGACUUUGGGAUAACUUCAGGAAACUGGGGCUAAUACCGGAUAGGAGCUCCUGCUGCAUGGUGGGGGUUGGAAAGUUUCGGCGGUUGGGGAUGGACUCGCGGCUUAUCAGCUUGUUGGUGGGGUAGUGGCCUACCAAGGCUUUGACGGGUAGCCGGCCUGAGAGGGUGACCGGCCCCCUCGGGCCUGAGAUACGGCACCGACGCCUACGGGAAGCAGCAGUGGGGAAUAUUGCACAAUGCGCGGAAGCCUAACGCAGCAACCCCGCGCGCCGGAUGACGCCCUUCGGGUUGUACCCCGCUUUCGCCUGUGACGAAGCGUGAGUGACGGUAAUGGGUAAAGAGGCACCGGCUAACUCCGUG
rnacentral:rRNA from 1 species